GCAUCAGUGGUUUAGUGGUAAAAUCCAUCGUUGCCAUGCGUAGGAAUCUCCUACAAUGAAAUCGAUGGGCCCCGCGUUCGAUUCGCGGCUGAUGCA